GAUGAACGCUGGCGGCGUGCUUAACACAUGCAAGUCGAACGAUGAAGCCCAGCUUGCUGGGUGGAUUAGUGGCGAACGGGUGAGUAACACGUGAGUAACCUGCCCUUGACUCUGGGAUAAGCCUGGGAAACUGGGUCUAAUACUGGAUAUGACUUCUCAUCGCAUGGUGGGGGGUGGAAAGAUUUAUUGGUCUUGGAUGGACUCGCGGCCUAUCAGCUUGUUGGUGAGGUAAUGGCUCACCAAGGCGACGACGGGUAGCCGGCCUGAGAGGGUGACCGGCCCCACUGCGGCUGAGACACGGCCCAGCCUCCUACGGGAGGCAGCAGUGGCGAAUAGUGCACAAUGGGCGCAAGCCUUAUGCAGCGACGCGGCGUGGGGGAUGACGGCCUUCGGGUUGUAGACCUCUUUCAGUAGUGAAGAAGCGAGAGGGACGGUACCUGCAGAAGAAGCGCCGGCUAACUACGUG
rnacentral:rRNA from 1 species